AGUGAACGCUGGCGGUAGGCCUAACACAUGCAAGUCGAACGGCAGCACAGGAGAGCUUGCUCUCUGGGUGGCGAGUGGCGGACGGGUGAGGAAUACAUCGGAAUCUACUCUGUCGUGGGGGAUAACGUAGGGAAACUUACGCUAAUACCGCAUACGACCUACGGGUGAAAGCAGGGGAUCCUCGGACCUCGCGCGAUUGAAUGAGCCGAUGUCGGAUUAGCUAGUUGGCGGGGGAAAGGCCCACCAAGGCGACGAUCCGUAGCUGGUCUGAGAGGAUGAUCAGCCACACUGGGACUGAGACACGGUCCAGACUCCUACGGGAGGCAGCAGUGGGGAAUAUUGGACAAUGGGCGCAAGCCUGAUCCAGCCAUACCGCGUGGGUGAAGAAGGCCUUCGGGUUGUAAAGCCCUUUUGUUGGGAAAGAAAUCCAGCUGGCUAAUACCCGGUUGGGAUGACGGUACCCAAAGAAUAAGCACCGGCUAACUUCGUGCCAGCAGCCGCCGUAA
rnacentral:rRNA from 1 species